GUGAGAUAAUGGGUCUAAUGACAGCUGUAGCGAUCACAGCUGGGGCAGGAUGGAGUAAACAACUAGAGGGCUUUUGAGGCAGUUAGAACAGGGUAAAAUGGUCAAUUUGUAUAGCUUUACUCAGUCCCUAAGGACCCCAAAGCACUUUACAGUCAUUCACCCAUUGGAAAUAGCAAGCUACAUUGCAGCCACAUCUGCCCUGGGGCGCACUGACAGAGGCGAGGUUGCCGGACACUGGCGCCACCGGACCCUCUGACGACCACCAGUAGGCAAACAUGGGGUUAGUAUCUUGCCCAAGGAUAUUUGGCCCAAGGAUAUUUUAGGAGGCAGCCUGGGAUCGAAACACCGAC
ensembl:lncRNA